rnacentral:rRNA from 1 species
UACGGGGGAGCAAGCGUUGUUCGGAUUUACUGGGCGUAAAGGGCGCGUAGGCGGCCACCGCAAGUCGACUGUGAAAUCUCCGGGCUUAACCCGGAAAGGUCAGCCGAUACUGCGGGGCUAGAGUGCAGAAGGGCAACUGGAAUUCUCGGUGUAGCGGUGAAAUGCGUAGAUAUCGAGAGGAACACCUGCGGCGAAGGCGGGUUGCUGGGCUGACACUGACGCUGAGGCGCGAAAGCUAGGGGAGCGAACGGG